UUUAAACUGAUGAUAAAAUGUCACUGACAUUCUGAUCCAAUCUAUUAUUGAGCGGAUCGGGAUAAAAAGGAUGUUCGCAUUUGCGAGGCAUUUGUCUGAUUAAAGU
rnacentral:snoRNA from 1 species